ensembl:antisense predicted gene, 35986
AUCACGCUUUUUACUCGUCUACAGGGAAAUCUCCUCCCCCUCGUGCGAUCGGGAAAAUUAACCCUUUGCGCGAGAGGGCGCAGAAGAGCAAGACCUCCCAUCGCCCUGGGGGAUAGUUUUGUUUACAAAAAGCCAACUAAAAUGAGGCGAGGGCAUUUCAUGCAGUCAGAUCAUCUCAGGAAGACAUUGGAGGCUGAGGCGGGAAGACUGGUGCUAGUAAAAUUGCCAGAAAUUUGAGGACAAGGCUUCCAAGUUCAACAGUCCUGACUGUCCCGGAACUCACUUUGUAGACCAGUCUGGUCUUGAACUCAAAGCAAUACACCUACCUCUGCUUCCCAAGUGCCAGGAUUAAAGAAGUGCCCCCCACCUCCAGGUUAGAAUGAUUAUUUUCUUUCUGGACUUUUAUAAGGGUAGGAAAGAUG